GCACGGCGAUCGGGAAAUAAUCCGGUGGCUCUCCUAGAAUUUCUCGCUCCGAAACGCGCAACGACUGCGCCGGAAAGCGGGCUAAUGCCGCCGAACGCACUGGUGCCAAAAGCAGUCAUGAGGGUCGACUUUUGAGUAUAGUCAAAGGGAUAAAGAAGCCUGCGUGUUGUUUAUAAGACACUUGGUGGCUCUCUGAUGUCUGCCUCCAUCUGCUGACCGUAUAGUGCACUGCUCCAUGCUGAAACAGUACCUCCAUCUGCUGAUGGAAUAACUGAGGAGAUUCAGCCAUCCAGCAAGAGUCCGCAGUGGGAGGAAGAGACCAGUGGCCAUUUCUGAGAAUUAACUGGAUUGCUUCCUUUUUUGUAUCGUAUCUAUUGUCUAAAGGAGAAAUAUGGUUUGUUAAAGUGACACGCAGCGUACUGAAAUGAUUUGACAGAACAAAGAAAGCACUGCGAUGGCGUAUUGUUACGUGUUUCGAAGGCAGCGAGCACUUCACUUCCAUCACGGACUAAUCUCUCACAGCAGACUGAACUGAAAGUGCUAUGUUAUCCCCAUUUCUCUGUUUUGGUUUCUGAAAGGACAUAAUAAAUACAGUUUAAGGGUCAAGCGGGUAAUUUGCCACAGUCAUAGACCCUUAUAUAUAUAUAUAUUAAACUAGAAUGCACUUCCACAAUCUCCUGGACAAUAGAGAUUUCCCAUCUCCCAUCAUGCCCGGAUGUCUGUACACACCAGUGCCUCACAAUAUACAUGCAUAAUGUUUUUUUUUUUUUCUUCAUAAAACGAUAAUCACUCAAAUCCUGAUUUUCAAUCCCUUGGCUCAAGCCGACAGUUUAAAUAAAAUCACUCCAAUCCCACGGGUAGGAGAAAUGAAAAGGACAAGGAUUAAAAAUGGUCAGACCUCUUUCUUCUCUCAUACUCUCCCUGGCUCUGGAUUGGAUCACGACCCUUCUGUGUGUGCAGCUUAAGAGCAGACGGUGAGCUUUCACUUUUUUUUUUUUUUUUUUUUUUUUUUUUUUUUUGUGGAGCAGGAAUGGGCUUACAGUAUUUACUGAGGGACUGGGGGGAGUGUGUGCAACAUGGAGCCUUAAUUCCAUAAUCCCACAUCAUUAGGGUUAAUAGGAGACGGCCUUACAGGAAGUAGGAAAUAUUUUCAGACACAUUGGAAUUGUGUUACGGCAGUUGAUUUAAUAUCUUAAUAUAAACAAAAUGGGAAAUUAAUAUAGUGGAACAUGAGGUGCUAAUACACACAGAACACGAUUUUGUUGUUUUUAUGUGCAGUUACAUGUAUUAGAAAGAAAUAAGCAAUGGAGGAUCUUGCAUUACAGGGUUAAAAUGAUCUAAAAUAUAUAUUUUUGUG